CCGUUUGAGACAAAAUGAUACCGAUGAAUUGCAAUCUAACACAAUAACAAAUCGACAUAAUAGAAUCAAAACAACGCGAACUACAAUAAAAACAACAGACCAAAUGUAGAAUAACACUGCAUAAUC